GAGUGUGCAGCUUAGUGGCCUCAGCUUUGCAAAAGCUGGUGAGAAGAUUUUAUCUUCCACGCUUU
rnacentral:tRNA from 1 species